rnacentral:misc_RNA from 1 species
GUGAAUCAUCGAAUCUUUGAACGCAAAUUGCACUUUCUGGUAUUCCGGAAAGUAUGCCUGUUUGAGAGUCAGUAAAAUAAAAAACGGUGUUGUUGCAGCUUUUCAUUGUUAAGCGUGGGAAUUGAGUUGUCUUACCUUCGCUUAAGUGACUUACAAUAUUGCAUGAUUUUCUGACAUAUUUAAAUUUCUUACGUACGUUUGAGAUAUCGAAUACUUUAUUCAGUUCAGUCAUCCUCAUGCUUCUCACCUAUAAUAUUUCAUUAAAUGACAUCAAAUCUGAUAAAAAUACCCUCUGAA